ACUCACGGGCGCCUGGACGGCCUCUGGUUGGCUCUUGAGCGCCUCCAAUCCCAACCGCCUGUCCUAAUUUCCUGAUCCACGCAACCUGCAGCCGCAGCUGUGCGCGCUCCACACGGCCAGCGGGGCCAGGCAGGCAGGCAGGCAGGCAGGCAGGCGUUCAUUCGGCCAGCCGCGCCGCCACCGCCGUCCACGCCCAGUCGGUGCUGAUGAGGCGCACAGGUGGACCGCCGCCUCCUCCUCCGCCCAGCUGAUUAGGAGCCCCCCGGAGACCGGCUCACGACGUGAAAUGAUCCUGAAGAUGGCAGAAGAUGUGGAGGUUUCUGAGAAAGAAGAUGAAUCAAUUGGGUGGAGGUAAUGUUCUGGAAACUGACAAAAGGGAAAAGAUGUUGCAUCAUCUGGAGUGUACAUCUUCAUCAUCUUUGCUGUCCUGACAUAUUAUUUACAUCCAGCUGCAAAAAGAUAUAUUACCUCAAGUGAUGGGAAGCUCUUUAAAGAAUGUUGGUUACCAACACCAGUUUGAUGUAAACAGAUAAAAAUUGUAAUGAUUACUAUAGAUGUUUCCCUCUGCAUGAUAAAGAUUUGGUUUACAAUUCAAACUGCCAAGGAAAAUUAAGAGGUAGAUCCAGGACACCUUUUGGAAUACAAACUAUAUACAGAAACAGUUGCUAUUAGCAAUCUGGUAUUUUCUUUAUUUACAAGUAACUUUUCGUAUGAUCAGUAUUCAGAUAAAUUAUUGGAUGAACUAUUGAGUCACUGUACAAAUCUUGUAGCCAUUAAACAUUUUUCAUGCCCA